rnacentral:rRNA from 1 species
UAUGAGCGGGCUGGAUCCUUUGGGGUUACAGCCUUGCUGAAUUAUUCACCCGUGUCUUUUGCGUACUUCUUGUUUCCUUGGUGGGUUCGCCCACCAUAGGACAAACCAUUAAACCUUUUGUAAUUGCAAUCAGCGUCAGUAAAAAAAAUUAAUAAUUACAACUUUUAACAACGGAUCUCUUGGUUCUGGCAUCGAUGAAGAACGCAGCGAAAUGCGAUAAGUAGUGUGAAUUGCAGAAUUCAGUGAAUCAUCGAAUCUUUGAACGCACAUUGCGCCCUUUGGUAUUCCAAAGGGCAUGCCUGUUCGAGCGUCAUUUGUACCCUCAAGCUUUGCUUGGUGUUGGGCGUCUUGUCUCCAGUUCGCUGGAGACUCGCCUUAAAGUAAUUGGCAGCCGGCCUACUGGUUUCGGAGCGCAGCACAAGUCGCGCUCUCUUCCAGCGAAGGUCAGCAUCCACAAAGCCUUUUUUCAACUUUUGACCUCGGAUCAGGUAGGGAUACCCGCUGAACUUAAGCAUAUCAAUAAGCGGGGGG